UUUAUUGUGUUUUAAGUAAGUACACUUAUUUUGAUAUAUUUAUCAUUAUACUAAAGCACAUGUAAAAUAGUUGAUUCUAAUUUCAACUUAAGUGUGUUCUCCAAAAUUAUAUUUGUUAAUGUAUUUAGUCUAUAAUAUAUACUAUGUGCAUUAAUGCACUUGAAAUGUAUAUUUCUUCUAAACUUAAAUACACUUUCUUAUACAGUAUACUCCAAUAAAACUUAUUGUUGAAAUUUUCAUCACCAGCUCUUGCACUAUGAACUCUAUGAAGUUUAAUUUUCGACAUACUAUUUGACAUACAGUGUCAUUUAUGAGAGUAUUGUAUUUUUAUGUAAUACUGUACUUUACAUUUGUGUACAGAAUACUUUCAAUAUCAUUAUUUUGUUCUAAGUCACUUAAACACAUUUAAUUGCAUUAAUUGCAAGCAAAAGUUUAACAGAUCUAAACAAAAUUAAUUUGCAUUAAAAUACAUUUGAUUUUAAUUAGACUUGGCUACACUGCACUGUAAAAAAAAAAAAAAUGACUGACUUUUAGUUGUGUCAGUGAGUCAUGAAUGAGUCUACCAAAUCUUUGGUCUAACUACACAGUGAGUUAGGACAACUUGAACUUGAACUGAAAUGAAAAGCCUGAAAUAACAUGUAACCACGCACUAAUAAGUAUCUCUUUUGUUGUAUGCGCCUGCGCCAAAAAUCCUACGUCAUGCCGCGCGCUACUUCAGCAGAGUUUGAAAAAUGCAGAAAAAUCCAUGUUUCUGGAGCUGUGGCGCGUGAGGGAGCUUCGCUGAUCAAAGGAGAACAGAGGAGCAGCACGUUUGGAUGAUUAUGAGACUUUAUGUACUGCAGAUAAUGAAUUAAGAUCAGUACAGAUUUGUUACUGGAGAUACAGUGUGGAGACCAGUACUGAAGAGCCCAGUGUCAGUGAAGAUGGUGUGAUCAGGAAAUCUGGUAUUUAUGGCUGAAGGAACAUCUACCAGUAAUCUACUACGACAUUGCCCUGAUGUUGAGGAAUUUUUUUUUUCUUUGGAACAUUUCCGUUCACAGAGACUGUGGAGAGAUUGGAGAGUUUACUGCCGAUGGAGAGCUUCUGGGACACUGACAAACAGCACUUCCCAACAAGUUAAUUUGGAGUUCUUUUUUAUUAUUUAUUUAGUCAAACUUGCAUUCACUAAUGCUGGAGUAAGAUUUUAGAAGAAAACUUUCGGUCCUGUUUAAUGUUGGUGCUAGUAAAGGUUUGAGAAUUUAUGGCCUGGUUUCACAGACAGGGCUUAGACUAAGCCAGGAUCAUAGUUCAAUAAGGACAUUUAAGUCAUUUUCAUUAACAUGCCUUAGAAAAAAACAUUACUGGUGUGCAUCUUGAGAUAAAACAAAGGCACAGAUAUUUUUAAAGAUCAGUCUGUGCAAGUUUCUUUCAGUUGAAACAGCUCAGAAUUAUAUUUAAUUCAAUUCAAAUGAGCUUCAUUGGCAUGACUUGCACAGUAUUGCCAAAGCAUAAUUAUAGAAUUACAUUUUAGUCCGGGGCUGGUCUUAAGCCUUGUCUGUGAAACCCGGGCUACCAUUAACACACUUUGGCAAUGUUUUACAAUAAGGUCUCAUUUGCUCUACAUGGAAUGAUAAUUUUCUUGAUUUUUUUUUUAUUUUAUUUUAUUUGUAUUAAGUUUGUGUGUUAGUAAUCCUAUACGUUAUCGGGGCCAAAUGACUCCACAAGGAUAGUAAUACCAGUAAAUUGUAUUGACUUUGUGGACAUUGAGGAAACAGGCUUAUAGAUCAUACAGAAUUAUGUUUUCUGUGAUGGUGAGAUUAGGUACUUUGGUAUGCAAGUAUGUAAGUGAUUUUGCAUUGUUCUCCAGACUCUUUCUAAUAAGUGAGUUAAAGUGUUGCAACUGUGUAUAGUGUUGGAUUUUUCUUGUGCAUCAGCAAAAAGCCUUUUUGUGUAUUUGUUUUAUUGAUUGUUUUGUCAAUAAAUGUAGAGGGUUUUCAAUUUUGUGUUUGUGUUGAUUGUAACUAGGUAAUAAAUACAUUGAAAUUACAUAUUAUAAGUAUAUUUUAGUUCACGUGAAUUGCUUAUUCAGAAGUAAAUAUUUACUAUAUUUCAAAGUACACAUAAAAUGUACUAAAGUCCCACUUAAGUGGUUCAAAUAUAUCACUCAAAAGUUCAACUAAAUGCAUUUAAUGUAAUUUUAAACUAAUAUAUUUAAAAUCAAUUACAAAUAACAUGCAUUUAGGUGGUCAAAAACAUUACAUUCAAUUCAUGCUUAAGUGUAUUGUUAACUGACAUUAAAUUAUAUUUUAGUUAACAUUAAUUGCUUGCAAGUACAUUAGUAGUACACUAUAACCGUAUUUUAAAGACACUAGAAGCAAUUAUGAAAAUACAUAUAAAGAUGUACUAAAAAGUCCCACUUAAGUGGUUUAAAAAAUUACUCAAAAGUUCACUAAUUGCAUUUAAUAUCUCUUUAAAAUGUGAAACAUUUGAAGUUAAUUACAAAUACAAUACAUUCAAACGUCCAAAAUAACAUAUUUAAUUUGCACUUAUGUGUGUUUUUUUAAAGUAUAUUAUUUCUGCAACAAGUACACUUUAUAAAAGUAUACUUAAGCGCACUUCUUUUUCACAAGAGGUUAUAUCUCCACUUUUC
ensembl:lncRNA